UACGGAGGGUCCAAGCGUUAUCCGGACUUAUUGGGUUUAAAGGGUGCGUAGGCGGCCUGUUAAGUCAGGGGUGAAAGACGGUAGCUCAACUAUCGCAGUGCCCUUGAUACUGAUGGGCUUGAAUGGACUAGAGGUAGGCGGAAUGUGACAAGUAGCGGUGAAAUGCAUAGAUAUGUCACAGAACACCGAUUGCGAAGGCAGCUUACUAUGGUCCUAUUGACGCUGAGGCACGAAAGCGUGGGGAUCAAACAGG
rnacentral:rRNA from 1 species